AUGGCUCCUAGUCGUAGCCAGGCCUCUCGUACCGCACCAUCAUCCUCCACUCCAGCGCCGCCCUCGCCGUUCCGAGGCCCACAAGAGGAUCCACAGAAGCCUCCUCAAACAAUGGCGCCAGACGAAUUGGAGAGUCAGCGACAAAGGAUGUGGCUAGCGCGAGCAAAAAGGAUUGACGGUGUGGUGUUCCGCUGGAUGGAGUACAUGCAGGAGCUGAAGGGGAUGGAGGCCAUCGCACGCGAGAACCAUGGCUUUCAGGUGGUCGUCCAGAUGUGUAAAAUGCAUGUGAAUAGAGAAUUGAGGAAGUAG
rnacentral:rRNA from 1 species